rnacentral:rRNA from 1 species
GAGUUUGAUCUUGGCUCAGGACGAACGCUGGCGGCGCGCUUAACACAUGCAAGUCGAGCGAGAACCAGGGCUUUCGGCUCUGGGGAAAGCGGCGAACGGGUGAGUAACACGUGAGUCAUCCACCCUCGGUACCGGGAUAGCCCGGGGAAACCCGGAUUAAUACCGGAUGGCCCAACAGCUCUUCGGGGCGGUUGGAAAAGGUAGCUUUGGCCUCCGACCGAGGACGAGCUCGCGGCGGAUUAGCUUGUUGGCGGGUAACGCCACAGGCGACGAUCCGUAGCUGGUCUGAGAGGACGAUCAGCCACACUGGGACUGAGACACGGCCCAGACUCCUACGGGAGGCAGCAGUGGGGAAUCUUGCGCAAUGGGCGAAA